UACGAAGGGGGCUAGCGUUGCUCGGAAUCACUGGGCGUAAAGGGUGCGUAGGCGGGUCUUUAAGUCAGGGGUGAAAUCCUGGAGCUCAACUCCAGAACUGCCUUUGAUACUGAGGAUCUUGAGUUCGGGAGAGGUGAGUGGAACUGCGGGUGUAGAGGUGAAAUUCAUAGAUAUUCGCAAGAACACCAGUGGCGAAGGCGGCUCACUGGCCCGAUACUGACGCUGAGGCACGAAAGCGUGGGGAGCAAACAGG
rnacentral:rRNA from 1 species